CCUUUUNGAGUACCUUUUCGUUUCCUCGGCAGGCUCGCCUGCCAAUGGGGACCCCAACAAACACUUUGCAGUACCUGUAAACAGUCUGAACAAACUUUUAAAAAUUAAAACUUUCAACAACGGAUCUCUUGGUUCUGGCAUCGAUGAAGAACGCAGCGAAAUGCGAUAAGUAGUGUGAAUUGCAGAAUUCAGUGAAUCAUCGAAUCUUUGAACGCACAUUGCGCCCUUUGGUAUUCCUUAGGGCAUGCCUGUUCGAGCGUCAUUGAAACCUUCAAGCUCAGCUUGGUGUUGGGUGACUGUCCGCUUGCGGACUCGCCUCAAAAUGAUUGGCGGCCGGUACUUUUGGCUUCGAGCGCAGCAGAAACGCGAACUCGAGGCCUGUGUGCUGGCUCCCAGAAGCUAUCUUCACAAUUUUUGACCUCGGG
rnacentral:rRNA from 1 species